rnacentral:rRNA from 1 species
GACGAACGCUGGCGGCGUGCCUAAUACAUGCAAGUUGAGCGCUGAAGGUUGGUACUUGUACCAACUGGAUGAGCAGCGAACGGGUGAGUAACGCGUGGGGAAUCUGCCUUUGAGCGGGGGACAACAUUUGGAAACGAAUGCUAAUACCGCAUAAAAACUUUAAACACAAGUUUUAAGUUUGAAAGAUGCAAUUGCAUCACUCAAAGAUGAUCCCGCGUUGUAUUAGCUAGUUGGUGAGGUAAAGGCUCACCAAGGCGAUGAUACAUAGCCGACCUGAGAGGGUGUUCGGCCACAUUGGGACUGAGACACGGCCCAAACUCCUCCGGGAGGCAGCAGUAGGGAAUCUUCGGCAAUGGACGAAAGUCUGACCGAGCAACGCCGCGUGAGGGAAGAAGGUUUUCGGAUCGUAAAACUCUGUUGGUAGAGAAGAACGUUGGUGAGAGUGGAAAGCUCAUCAAGUGACGGUAACUACCCAGAAAGGGACGGCUAACUACGUG